rfam:Anaerosporobacter mobilis DSM 15930 genome assembly, contig: EJ17DRAFT_scaffold00020.20
UAGCGUAAUACCUGUAGUUUAUCUUAGUGUGUGCUGGAUAGUAUAGGAAGACGAGGCAAGGAGGCCGAGGCAGCCUGAACCGCGACAGGAUGUCGCGUUGAAGGCGUUUCCGACUCCUCUACAGAAAAUGUAAUGCACACACUUAGAAAAACUAAGGUAUGUAACGU